rnacentral:lncRNA from 1 species
CAUUUAGUACAAGUGGAAAGUAAACUACUCAUUUGCUGAUGUCUGCUUCGAUUUUUUUUUUCAAACAGCAAAAAACAGUGGAAAAAAUUAUUAACAAUGAAGGAAAAUCAAAGAGAAGCAUGGAGAGCUCUGAAUGCGCGCAAUUUUGAUCUGCUUUCCUUGUAGUCUUGUCAUGCCAAAAGCAUCAAGAAACUCUCAAGCUUCAACUGAUGAAGAAGAAUGAAACCUUGCAUGCUCAGAACUUCCUUACAGAAGAGUGCCCCUUAUGUGAUACAGCUGCUGUCUGGUUUAGUGUUUUGUUUUUUUUUUCUUCUAAUCCAAAGAUACCAAAAUAAAACUACACAGACUGGAAGGCUGAAGAAUAAACUACAGAACCAACAGGAUUGUGAAGACUUUUGGCUGCUGUUUCCACUGGGCUGUAAUAGUUAACAGCUCAAAAGAAAACCUGAGGAUACAAAAUCAAAAAUUGAGUUUCUUACCUGCUUGGUGGUAGUUGAAUAUUUAGGCAGUUUAGUUGGGGGGAGGAGGGAAAGGAAUCCCCAAACCAAAGCUGACUGUAAAAAGUGAGAGCAAGAAGGCAGCAAGAAAAGAAGCCAGAUCUUUAAGUGUUGUAGGAGUGUGUAACUCAUUAGCAUCAAUGGAUCAGUGCUCAUUUGUGUCACUUGAGAAUCAAGCCCAGUAAUAUGGUGUUGUCCCUUUAGUGUAAUUCUUCUCUCACUCUGUUUUUACUGAUUGUUAAACCAAAAGCAUCCCAGUCUCUAGAAAAAGGAAAACUGAACUGCAUUUUGAAAAGACACAUGAAAUUCUAAAUCCAAACUAAUCCAAUCUUUCAAUUAUUUAAAUAAAAAGCUUCUGUGACAGAAUACGUAGAGAGUC